GACGAACGCUGGCGGCGUGCCUAAUACAUGCAAGUAGAACGCUGAAGGAGGAGCUUGCUUCUCCGGAUGAGUUGCGAACGGGUGAGUAACGCGUAGGUAACCUGCCUGGUAGCGGGGGAUAACUAUUGGAAACGAUAGCUAAUACCGCAUAACAGUAGAUGUUGCAUGACAUUUUCUUAAAAGGUGCACUUGCAUCACUACCAGAUGGACCUGCGUUGUAUUAGCUAGUUGUUGAGGUAACGGCUCACCAAGGCGACGAUACAUAUCCGACCUGAGAGGGUGAUCGGCCACACUGGGACUGAGACACGGCCCAGACUCCUACGGGAGGCAGCAGUAGGGAAUCUUCGGCAAUGGACGGAAGUCUGACCGAGCAACGCCGCGUGAGUGAAGAAGGUUUUCGGAUCGUAAAGCUCUGUUGUAAGAGAAGAACGAGUGUGAGAGUGGAAAGUUCACACUGUGACGGUAUCUUACCAGAAAGGGACGGCUAACUACGUG
rnacentral:rRNA from 1 species